rnacentral:rRNA from 1 species
GACGAACGCUGGCGGCGUGCCUAAUACAUGCAAGUCGACCUUAGUGGCGACCGGGUCAGUAACACGUGGGUAACCUGCCCCACAGCAGGGGAUAACACUUGGAAACAGGUGCUAAUACCGUAUACUGAUUGAUGGACCCGCGGUGCAUUAGCUAGUUGGUGCGGUAACGGCUCACCAAGGCAACGAUGCAUACCCGACCUGAGAGGGUGAUAGGCCACAUGGGGACUGAGACACGGCCCAAAAUCCUACGGGAGGCAGCAGUAGGGAAUCUUCGGCAAUGGACGAAAGUCUGACCGAGCAACGCCGCGUGAGUGAAGAAGGUUUUCGGAUCGUAAAACUCUGUUGUUAGAGAAGCGGUAUCUAACCAGAAAGCCACGGCUAACUACGUGCCAGCAGCCGCGGAAAUAC